rnacentral:sRNA from 1 species
UAUGCACUUUUGGUGGCUUUAUUUCUGGGAGCCAACUGCAAAGAUAGGAUCGGCGUCCCCGAAUAGUUUCACUAGUAAGUCAAGCAGAUCUCUAGUAUACAAAUGGAAUUGGUUAAAAAGGGAAUGAAAACAAGCGAGCUAAUGUAGCCAUAAAUGGGCAAGAUAAUAAAGCAUUCCUUUGGUAUACAAGUUUGUCCAUAUGACAGGAUUCCAGCUUAUGUUGGAACACUCUAAGUAUGUGCCGCAAUCACCACUGCACAUCUCAUUCAAAAACCAAGACCUAAUACAUGUAGGAAUUAAACUAAAAUCUGAAACCUUCACAAAACGUUUGUAUUCGCUCCUCUAGCAUGGUGGUGUCCAUAAACCACACCUCUGGUUAGCUAGAAACAAUUAACUAACCCGUAUAUUAACCUGAUAUCACCAAUUCAUAGUCAUGCACCUGAAUACCUGAUAUAAUGCUUCUUUCAUCUAUCCCAAGUCAUAUAUGAAUAUAAUAGUACUCUCGCUAGGAAGUGAUACCUCUGCUUGUCUGAUUAUUAUUAACAGUAUAGUUGCCCAUGUAACUUGCUGGUAUGUUUGAUUUGAUAUCUGGAUCAACAUUUCCAAGGUCAUUACCAAAAGGAGGCAUAUCAAUCUCAGAUGACGUGAACCUCCAAGUUGAGUCUCCAUAAAUGGAGCUGCUGCCAUAUGUAUCUGCAUUGUUCACUUCAUAUGCAUUGGGUGGUGCAGAGAAGGGUUCACCAAUGGUACCAGUUGCAUUGCUCCUUCCAUAGCUGCCAGAAGGCAAGCCAAAACUGUCUCCAGCUCCACGGCCAAGGUUAGCCAGCCCAAGGCUUGAAAUGUUGCCCAUUCCAUGGCCAGGAGUAGGCCCUCCCCAAUUAAUACCGUCAC